rnacentral:rRNA from 1 species
GAUGAACGCUGGCGGCGUGCCUAACACAUGCAAGCCGAACGAAGCUACAUUUUACGAUCCCUUCGGGGUGACGAAUUGUAGACUGAGUGGCGGACGGGUGAGUAACGCGUGGGCAACCUGCCCUAUACCGGGGGAUAGCAGCUGGAAACGGCUGAUAAUACCGCAUAAGCGCACAGAGAGACAUCUCUUGGUGUGAAAAACUCCGGUGGUAUAGGAUGGACCCGCGUCUGAUUAGCCAGUUGGUGAGGUAAAGGCCCACCAAAGCGAAGAUCAGUAGCCGACCUGAGAGGGUGACCGGCCACAUUGGGACUGAGACACGGCCCAAACUCCUACGGGAGGCAGCAGUGGGGAAUAUUGCACAAUGGGCGAAAGCCUGAUGCAGCGACGCCGCGUGAGUGAUGAAGUAUUUCGGUAUGUAAAGCUCUAUCAGCAGGGAAGAAAAUGACGGUACCUGACUAAGAAGCUCCGGCUAAAUACGUGCCAGCCGCCGCCGUAA